ACGAACGCUGGCGGCGUGGAUAAGACAUGCAAGUCGAACGAGAGAAUUGCUAGCUUGCUAAUAAUUCUCUAGUGGCGCACGGGUGAGUAACACGUGAGUAACCUGCCCCCGAGAGCGGGAUAGCCCUGGGAAACUGGGAUUAAUACCGCAUAGUAUCGAAAGAUUAAAGCAGCAAUGCGCUUGGGGAUGGGCUCGCGGCCUAUUAGUUAGUUGGUGAGGUAACGGCUCACCAAGGCGAUGACGGGUAGCCGGUCUGAGAGGAUGUCCGGCCACACUGGAACUGAGACACGGUCCAGACACCUACGGGUGGCAGCAGUCGAGAAUCAUUCACAAUGGGGGAAACCCUGAUGGUGUGACGCCGCGUGGGGGAAUGAAGGUCUUCGGAUUGUAAACCCCUGUCAUGUGGGAGCAAAUUAAAAAGAUAGUACCACAAGAGGAAGAGACGGCUAACUCUGUGCCAGCAGCCGCGGUAAUACAGAGGUCUCAAGCGUUGUUCGGAAUCACUGGGCGUAAAGCGUGCGUAGGCUGUUUCGUAAGUCGUGUGUGAAAGGCGCGGGCUCAACCCGCGGACGGCACAUGAUACUGCGAGACUAGAGUAAUGGAGGGGGAACCGGAAUUCUCGGUGUAGCAGUGAAAUGCGUAGAUAUCGAGAGGAACACUCGUGGCGAAGGCGGGUUCCUGGACAUUAACUGACGCUGAGGCACGAAGGCCAGGGGAGCGAAAGGGAUUAGAUACCCCUGUAGUCCUGGCAGUAAACGGUGCACGCUUGGUGUGCGGGGAAUCGACCCCCUGCGUGCCGGAGCUAACGCGUUAAGCGUGCCGCCUGGGGAGUACGGUCGCAAGAUUAAAACUCAAAGAAAUUGACGGGGACCCGCACAAGCGGUGGAGUAUGUGGCUUAAUUCGAUGCAACGCGAAGAACCUUACCUGGGCUUGACAUGUAAUGAACAACAUGUGAAAGCAUGCGACUCUUCGGAGGCGUUACACAGGUGCUGCAUGGCCGUCGUCAGCUCGUGUCGUGAGAUGUUUGGUUAAGUCCAGCAACGAGCGCAACCCCUGUUGCCAGUUACCAGCACGUGAAGGUGGGGACUCUGGCGAGACUGCCCAGAUCAACUGGGAGGAAGGUGGGGACGACGUCAGGUCAGUAUGGCCCUUAUGCCCAGGGCUGCACACGUACUACAAUGCCCAGUACAGAGGGGGCCGAAGCCGCGAGGCGGAGGAAAUCCUGAAAACUGGGCCCAGUUCGGACUGUAGGCUGCAACCCGCCUACACGAAGCCGGAAUCGCUAGUAAUGGCGCAUCAGCUACGGCGCCGUGAAUACGUUCCCGGAUCUUGUACACACCGCCCGUCACAUCAUGGAAGCCGGUCGCACCCGAAGUAUCUGAAGCCAACCGCAAGGAGGCAGGGUCCUAAGGUGAGACUGGUAACUGGGAUG
rnacentral:rRNA from 1 species